rnacentral:tRNA from 1 species
UGCCUGGUGGCUCAGACUGUGAAGCAUCUACCUACAAUGCAGGAGACCUGGGUUCAAUCCCUGGUUUGGCAA